rnacentral:snoRNA from 11 species
UUAGCCUCCGAAUAACGAUAAAGUGAUAUAUAGGAACACUUUCUGGUUCAGACAGAGGCUUAUAUCAAAAAACUCGAAUCAGAUUUGAGGGUGAAAAAAGCUUUACUCUUUUUUGCCAUCCAAAUCUUCAUUUUCCUUUACUUGGAUAGAUUCGAAUAUCU